rnacentral:rRNA from 1 species
UUAAGCUACUAAGAGCACACGGAGGAUGCCUAGGCGCUAGGAGCCGAAGAAGGACGUGGCGAACAACGAAACUGCCUCGGGGAGCUGUAAGCAAGCAUCGAUCCGGGGGUGUCCGAAUGGGGAAACCCGGCUAGGGUAAUACCUAGUCACUCGUAUCUGAAUUCAUAGGAUGCGAAGAGGCAGACCAGGGGAACUGAAACAUCUAAGUACCCUGAGGAAGAGAAAACAAAAGUGAUUCCGUCAGUAGCGGCGAGCGAACGCGGAUUAGCCUAAACCGAAGAGCUUGCUCUUCGGGGUUGUGGGACGUCUCACACGGAGUUACAAAGGUUCAGAUUAGACGAAGAGGUCUGGAAAGGCCCGCCAGAGAAGGUAAAAGCCCUGUAAUCGAAAGUGUGAACCCUCCGAGACGGAUCCCGAGUAGUGCGGGGCACGUGAAACCCCGUAUGAAUCUGCCAGGACCAUCUGGUAAGGCUAAAUACUCCCUAGUGACCGAUAGUGAAGCAGUACCGUGAGGGAAAGGUGAAAAGCACCCCGGAAGGGGAGUGAAAAAGAACCUGAAACCGUGUGCUUACAAGAAGUCAGAGCCCUCUAUAUGGGUGAUGGCGUGCCUUUUGUAGAAUGAACCGGCGAGUUACGUUUGCAAGCAAGGUUAAGCCGAGAAGGUGGAGCCGCAGCGAAAGCGAGUCUGAAUAGGGCGACUAAGUUUGUAGGCGUAGACCCGAAACCGGGUGAUCUACCCCUGUCCAGGGUGAAGGUGCGGUAACACGCACUGGAGGCCCGAACCCACGUACGUUGAAAAGUGCGGGGAUGAGGUGGGGGUAGCGGAGAAAUUCCAAUCGAACUCGGAGAUAGCUGGUUCUCCNGCGCCUUGUGUUAGGGUGAAUUUGGGGCCAUAGCUCAGCUGGGAGAGCGCCUGCCUUGCAAGCAGGAGGUCAGGAGUUCGAUCCUCCUUGGCUCCACCAUAAGAUUUAUCAAUUGAUCCUUGAAAACUGGAUAAANUAGCUAACUCAGGUUAGCGAAGUUACUCACUCGUUGGUCAGUUUUGAGAGUUCAAACUCUCAUGCGUUUGGUGAUGAUGGCGGAGGGGUUCCACUCGUUCCCAUCCCGAACACGACCGUUAAGCCCUCCAGCGCCGAUGGUACUUGGACCGAAGGGUCCUGGGAGAGUAGGACGUCGCCAAGCGCAGCCCAUUUUUGGGUUCACAAAAUCAUAUCUGUUAUGGGCCCUUAGCUCAGCUGGUUAGAGCGCACCCCUGAUAAGGGUGAGGUCGGUGGUUCGAGUCCACUAGGGCCCACCAUAUUUCCCAUAACGUUUGGCAUCACGCCUUGUGUUAGGGUGAAUUUGGGGCCAUAGCUCAGCUGGGAGAGCGCCUGCCUUGCAAGCAGGAGGUCAGGAGUUCGAUCCUCCUUGGCUCCACCAUAAGAUUUAUCAAUUGAUCCUUGAAAACUGGNCUAUGAGCGAUGGGGUGACGCAGCAGGGUAGUGACGCGGGGCGAUGGAAUGCCCCGUCCAAGCAGUGAGGCUGGUGUGUAGGCAAAUCCGCACAUCGUAAGGCUGGGCUGUGAUGGGGAGGGAAAAUUUACAGUACCGAAGGUCAUGAUCUCACACUGCCAAGAAAAGCCUCUAGCCAGGAGAAGGUGCCCGUACCGCAAACCGACACAGGUAGGCGAGAAGAGAAUUCUAAGGCGCGCGGAAGAACUCUCGUUAAGGAACUCGGCAAAAUGACCCCGUAACUUCGGGAGAAGGGGUGCCCCGGUAGAGUGAAUAGCUCGAGGGGGCCGCAGUGAAAAGGCCCAAGCGACUGUUUAGCAAAAACACAGGUCUGUGCGAAGCCGCAAGGCGAAGUAUACGGGCUGACGCCUGCCCGGUGCUGGAAGGUUAAGGGGAGUGGUUAGGGGUUUACCCCGAAGCUAUGAACCGAAGCCCCAGUAAACGGCGGCCGUAACUAUAACGGUCCUAAGGUAGCGAAAUUCCUUGUCAGGUAAAUUCUGACCCGCACGAAUGGCGUAACGACUUGGGCGCUGUCUCAACGAGAGAUCCGGUGAAAUUUUAAUACCUGUGAAGAUGCAGGUUACCCGCGACAAGACGGAAAGACCCCAUGGAGCUUUACUGCAGCUUGAUAUUGGACUUUGAUACGAUUUGUACAGGAUAGGUGGGAGCCUAGGAAGCCGGAGCGCCAGCUUCGGUGGAGGCGCCGUUGGGAUACCACCCUGAUCGUAUCGGAGUUCUAACCUGGUACCGUGAUCCGGUAUGGGGACAGUGUCAGGUGGGCAGUUUGACUGGGGCGGUCGCCUCCUAAAGAGUAACGGAGGCGCCCCAAGGUUCCCUCAGAAUGGUUGGAAAUCAUUCGAAGAGUGCAAAGGCAAAAGGGAGCUUGACUGCGAGACUGACAAGUCGAGCAGGGACGAAAGUCGGGCUUAGUGAUCCGGUGGUACCGCAUGGAAGGGCCAUCGCUCAACGGAUAAAAGCUACCCUGGGGAUAACAGGCUUAUCUCCCCCAAGAGUCCACAUCGACGGGGAGGUUUGGCACCUCGAUGUCGGCUCAUCGCAUCCUGGGGCUGAAGUAGGUCCCAAGGGUUGGGCUGUUCGCCCAUUAAAGCGGUACGCGAGCUGGGUUCAGAACGUCGUGAGACAGUUCGGUCCCUAUCUGUCGUGGGCGUAGGAAAUUUGAGAGGAGCUGUCCUUAGUACGAGAGGACCGGGAUGGACGCACCGCUGGUGCACCAGUUGUUCCGCCAGGAGCACAGCUGGGUAGCUAAGUGCGGACGGGAUAAGCGCUGAAAGCAUCUAAGCGUGAAGCCCCCCUCAAGAUGAGAUUUCCCAGUAUGUAAGACCCCUUGAAGACGACGAGGUUGAUAGGCCUGAGGUGGAAGUGCAGCAAUGUAUGGAGCUGACAGGUACUAAUCGGUCGAGGGCUUAUCCAA